rnacentral:rRNA from 1 species
GACGUAGGGCGCGAGCGUUGUCCGGAUUUAUUGGGCGUAAAGAGCUCGUAGGCGGUCUGUCGCGUCGGCUGUGAAAACCCGGGGCUCAACCCCGGGCCUGCAGUCGAUACGGGCAGACUAGAGUGUGGUAGGGGAGACUGGAAUUCCUGGUGUAGCGGUGAAAUGCGCAGAUAUCAGGAGGAACACCGGUGGCGAAGGCGGGUCUCUGGGCCAUAACUGACGCUGAGGAGCGAAAGCGUGGGGAGCGAACAGG